rnacentral:rRNA from 1 species
UACGGAGGAUCCGAGCGUUAUCCGGAUUUAUUGGGUUUAAAGGGAGCGUAGGCGGCCUGUUAAGUCAGUGGUGAAAUCUUUCGGCUCAACCGGAAGCUUGCCUUUGAUACUGAUGGGCUUGAAUGUAGUUGAGGUGGGCGGAAUGUGACAAGUAGCGGUGAAAUGCAUAGAUAUGUCACAGAACACCGAUUGCGAAGGCAGCUCACUAAGCUAUGAUUGACGCUGAGGCUCGAAAGCGUGGGGAUCAAACAGG